UACACUCCUGCGGGAGGCAGCAGUGGGGAAUUUUGGACAAUGGGGGCAACCCUGAUCCAGCAAUGCCGCGUGAGUGAAGAAGGCCUUCGGGUUGUAAAGCUCUUUUGUCAGGGAAGAAACGGUGGUGGCGAAUAACUACUACUAAUGACGGUACCUGAAGAAUAAGCACCGGCUAACUACGUGCCAGCAGCCGCGGUAAUACGUAGGGUGCAAGCGUUAAUCGGAAUUACUGGGCGUAAAGCGUGCGCAGGCGGUUGUGUAAGUCAGAUGUGAAAUCCCCGGGCUCAACCUGGGAAUUGCAUUUGAGACUGCACGGCUAGAGUGUGUCAGAGGGGGGUAGAAUUCCACGUGUAGCAGUGAAAUGCGUAGAUAUGUGGAGGAAUACCGAUGGCGAAGGCAGCCCCCUGGGAUAACACUGACGCUCAUGCACGAAAGCGUGGGGAGCAAACAGGAUUAGAAACCCGGGUAGUCCCAUGA
rnacentral:rRNA from 1 species